GACGAACGCUGGCGGCGUGCCUAACACAUGCAAGUCGAACGAGGUCCAAGAGAGCUUGCUCUCUGAAGACCUAGUGGCGAACGGGUGAGUAACACGUGAGCAACCUGCCCUGGAAUCGGGGAUAACUCGAGGAAACUCGAGCUAAUACCGGAUACCUUCCCUUGGCCGCAUGACCGAGGGAAGAAAGAAUUUCGUUCCAGGAGGGGCUCGCGGCCUAUCAGUUUGUUGGCGGGGUAACGGCCCACCAAGACUACGACGGGUAGCUGGUUUGAGAGAACGAUCAGCCACACUGGGACUGAGACACGGCCCAGACUCCUACGGGAGGCAGCAGUGGGGAAUCUUGCGCAAUGGGCGAAAGCCUGACGCAGCAACGCCGCGUGCGGGAUGACGGCCUUCGGGUUGUAAACCGCUUUCAGCAGGGACGAAAAUGACGGUACCUGCAGAAGAAGCCCCGGCUAACUACGUGCCAGCCGCCGCUGUAACAC
rnacentral:rRNA from 1 species